rnacentral:rRNA from 1 species
GGUUAAGCGACUAAGCGUACACGGUGGAUGCCCUGGCAGUCAGAGGCGAUGAAGGACGUGCUAAUCUGCGAAAAGCGUCGGUAAGGUGAUAUGAACCGUUACAGCCGGCGAUGUCCGAAUGGGGAAACCCAGUGCAAUUCGUUGCACUAUCGUUAACUGAAUACAUAGGUUAACGAGGCGAACCGGGGGAACUGAAACAUCUAAGUACCCCGAGGAAAAGAAAUCAACCGAGAUUCCCCCAGUAGCGGCGAGCGAACGGGGAGCAGCCCAGAGUCUGAAUCAGCUUGUGUGUUAGUGGAACGGUCUGGAAAGUCCGACGGUACAGGGUGAUAGUCCCGUACACCAAAAUGCACAGGUUGUGAACUCGAAGAGUAGGGCGGGACACGUGGUAUCCUGUCUGAAUAUGGGGGGACCAUCCUCCAAGGCUAAAUACUCCUGACUGACCGAUAGUGAACCAGUACCGUGAGGGAAAGGCGAAAAGAACCCCGGCGAGGGGAGUGAAAAAGAACCUGAAACCGUGUACGUACAAGCAGUGGGAGCACCUUCGGGUGUGACUGCGUACCUUUUGUAUAAUGGGUCAGCGACUUAUAUUCUGUAGCAAGGUUAACCGUAUAGGGGAGCCGCAGGGAAACCGAGUCUUAACUGGGCGUUAAGUUGCAGGGUAUAGACCCGAAACCCGGUGAUCUAGCCAUGGGCAGGUUGAAGGUUGGGUAACACUAACUGGAGGACCGAACCGACUAAUGUUGAAAAAUUAGCGGAUGACUUGUGGCUGGGGGUGAAAGGCCAAUCAAACCGGGAGAUAGCUGGUUCUCCCCGAAAGCUAUUUAGGUAGCGCCUCGUGAAUUCAUCUUCGGGGGUAGAGCACUGUUUCGGCUAGGGGGUCAUCCCGACUUACCAACCCGAUGCAAACUACGAAUACCGAAGAAUGUUAUCACGGGAGACACACGGCGGGUGCUAACGUCCGUCGUGAAGAGGGAAACAACCCAGACCGCCAGCUAAGGUCCCAAAGUCAUGGUUAAGUGGGAAACGAUGUGGGAAGGCACAGACAGCCAGGAUGUUGGCUUAGAAGCAGCCAUCAUUUAAAGAAAGCGUAAUAGCUCACUGGUCGAGUCGGCCUGCGCGGAAGAUGUAACGGGGCUAAACCAUGCACCGAAGCUGCGGCAGCGACACUAUGUGUUGUUGGGUAGGGGAGCGUUCUGUAAGCCUGCGAAGGUGACCUGUGAGGGUUGCUGGAGGUAUCAGAAGUGCGAAUGCUGACAUAAGUAACGAUAAAGCGGGUGAAAAGCCCGCUCGCCGGAAGACCAAGGGUUCCUGUCCAACGUUAAUCGGGGCAGGGUGAGUCGACCCCUAAGGCGAGGCCGAAAGGCGUAGUCGAUGGGAAACAGGUUAAUAUUCCUGUACUUGGUGUUACUGCGAAGGGGGGACGGAGAAGGCUAUGUUAGCCGGGCGACGGUUGUCCCGGUUUAAGCAUGUAGGCUGGUUAUCCAGGCAAAUCCGGAUAAUCAAGGCUGAGGUGUGAUGACGAGGCACUACGGUGCUGAAGUAACAAAUGCCCUGCUUCCAGGAAAAGCCUCUAAGCAUCAGGUAACAUCAAAUCGUACCCCAAACCGACACAGGUGGUCAGGUAGAGAAUACCAAGGCGCUUGAGAGAACUCGGGUGAAGGAACUAGGCAAAAUGGUGCCGUAACUUCGGGAGAAGGCACGCUGGUGUGUAGGUGAAGUCCCUGCGGAUGGAGCUGAGACCAGUCGAAGAUACCAGCUGGCUGCAACUGUUUAUUAAAAACACAGCACUGUGCAAACACGAAAGUGGACGUAUACGGUGUGACGCCUGCCCGGUGCCGGAAGGUUAAUUGAUGGGGUUAUCCGUAAGGAGAAGCUCUUGAUCGAAGCCCCGGUAAACGGCGGCCGUAACUAUAACGGUCCUAAGGUAGCGAAAUUCCUUGUCGGGUAAGUUCCGACCUGCACGAAUGGCGUAAUGAUGGCCAGGCUGUCUCCACCCGAGACUCAGUGAAAUUGAACUCGCUGUGAAGAUGCAGUGUACCCGCGGCAAGACGGAAAGACCCCGUGAACCUUUACUAUAGCUUGACACUGAACAUUGAGCCUUGAUGUGUAGGAUAGGUGGGAGGCUUUGAAGCGUGGACGCCAGUCUGCGUGGAGCCAACCUUGAAAUACCACCCUUUAAUGUUUGAUGUUCUAACGUUGGCCCCUUACCGGGGUUGCGGACAGUGUCUGGUGGGUAGUUUGACUGGGGCGGUCUCCUCCCAAAGCGUAACGGAGGAGCACGAAGGUUAGCUAAUCCUGGUCGGACAUCAGGAGGUUAGUGCAAUGGCAUAAGCUAGCUUGACUGCGAGCGUGACGGCGCGAGCAGGUGCGAAAGCAGGUCAUAGUGAUCCGGUGGUUCUGAAUGGAAGGGCCAUCGCUCAACGGAUAAAAGGUACUCCGGGGAUAACAGGCUGAUACCGCCCAAGAGUUCAUAUCGACGGCGGUGUUUGGCACCUCGAUGUCGGCUCAUCACAUCCUGGGGCUGAAGUAGGUCCCAAGGGUAUGGCUGUUCGCCAUUUAAAGUGGUACGCGAGCUGGGUUUAGAACGUCGUGAGACAGUUCGGUCCCUAUCUGCCGUGGGCGCUGGAGAAUUGAGGGGGGCUGCUCCUAGUACGAGAGGACCGGAGUGGACGCAUCACUGGUGUUCGGGUUGUCAUGCCAAUGGCACUGCCCGGUAGCUAAAUGCGGAAGAGAUAAGUGCUGAAAGCAUCUAAGCACGAAACUUGCCCCGAGAUGAGUUCUCCCUGAGACUUUAAGUCUCCUGAAGGAACGUUGAAGACGACGACGUUGAUAGGCCGGGUGUGUAAGCGCAGCGAUGCGUUGAGCUAACCGGUACUAAUGAACCGUGAGGCUUAACCUU